ensembl:lncRNA
GCACUUCCUCUGUAGACCAGGCUGUCCUCAAACUCACAGAGAUCCUCCUGCCCCUGCCUACAGAAUUCUGGGAAUAAAGACAUGGGCCACCUUUUGUUUUAAUUUUUGUUUUUGUUUUUGUGUUUAAUCGGGGUGUUUUGUUUUUGUUUUUCUUUUAUUUUUUUGAGACAGGCUACCUCUGUAUUGCUUUGGAGCCUGUCUGGUCACUAGCUCUGAAACCCAAACUCACAAAAUCUGCCUGCUCCCCCAAACUCCGAUGCUGGGAUUAAAGACCUGCAACAGCUUUUUUACUUUUUUUUUUAUUAGCUCUAGUUAGGGAAUAAGCUUGUUUCACAUGUAAGUCCCUUCUCCCUCUCCCUCCCCUCACUCCCAGCCCUCCUCUCCCACCCCCAGCCCAUCCCCAGCCCAUCCACCCACCACUCCCAGGCAGGGUAGGGCCCUCAAUGGGGGUUCUGCAAAGUCCAUCAAAUUUUCCUGUGCUAGGCCUGUGCUUCCCCAUGUGCCCAGGGCCAGAGUGUAACCCUUCACGUGGGAAGGGCUCUCAAAGUCCCUUCUUACACCAGGGAAAAAUACUAAUCAGUUACCAGAAGCUCCCCGGAGGCCUCCUUAUUGGCAUCCAUGUUCAGGGGUCUGGAUCAGUCUGGUACUGGCCUCACUGACAGCAUCUGGAGUUGAUGUGCUCUCCCUUGUUCAGGCCAACUGUUCCUGUGGAUUUCUCCAACCUGGUACAGACCCCUUCGAUCUUCAUUCCUCCCUCUCUGCAACUAAAUUCCAGAUUUCGGCUCAUUGUAUAUCUGUGUAUGUCUGUCUCUGCUUCCAUCAGCCACUGGAUGAGGGCUCUAGGAUGGCAUAAAGAGUAGUCAUCAAUCUCAUUUUAGGGGAAGGGCUUUUAGGUUAUCCUCUCCUUUUUUAUUUUUUUAUUUUUUUUGGCUUUAUAGACAUGGUUUCUCCAUUUAGGUUUGGAGCCUGUCAUGAAACUUUCUCUGUCCACCAGGCUGGCCUCAAACUCACAGAGAUUCUCAUGCCCAUGCUUCCCAAGUGCUGGCAUUAAACACCUGUGCCACCUUUAUAUUUUUCUUUAUUAUUAUUAUUAUUAAUUAUUAAAAUUAUUAUUAAUUAUUAAAAAAUAAUAAUCAUCAUUAUUAUUUGGUUUUUUGAGACAGGGUUCCUCUAUAUUGCUUUGGAGCCUGUCUGGUCAGUAGCUCUGAAACCCAGAUUGGACUCAAACUCACAGAAAUCUGCAUGCUCCUUCCUUCCCACCCACCCCCAAUGCUAGGAUUAAAGACACGCAACAACUUUUUUUUCCUUUUUUGGCUUUUUAGACAUUGUUUCUCCAUUUAGGUUUGGAGCCUGGCUUGGCACUUGCUCUGUAGACCAGGCUUGCCUCAAACUCACAGAGAUCCUCCUGCCCCUGCCUCCCAAGUGCUGGCAUUAAAGACCUGUGCCACCUUUUCUGGUUUUUUUUGUGUGUGUAUUUUUUUUUUUUUUGGUUGUUUGAGACAGGGUUUUUCUGUAUUGCUUGGGAGACUGUCCAGUCACUAGCUCUGAAACCCAGGCUGGCAUCAAACUCACAGAAAUCCACCUGCUUUACCCCCUCUCCACUGCUGGAAUUAAAGACAUGCCCCACCUUUUUUCUUUCUCAUUUUGAGAAAGAGUUUCCCCAUUUACUUUUGAUGACUGUCCUGCACUGGAUCUGUAGAACAGGCUGGUUUAAAGCUCAAAGAGUUCCUUCUGCUUCUGCCUCUUGUGUGCUGGGAUUAAAGAUGUGUGCCACAUAGUUUUUUUGGGGGGGGCAGGGGUUGACACAGGGUUCUUCUGUAUUGCAUUGGAGCCUGUCCUGGCACUCGCUUGGAAACCCAGACAGGCCUGAAACUCAAAGAAGUCCGGCUGCUCCUUGCCCUCCCUCCCCCAUUGCUGGUAUUAAAGACACGCGCCAAGUAGUUUUUUCUUUUCUUUUUUUUUUUUUUUUUUUUUUUUUUGGCUUUUUGAGACAGGUUUUCUCUGUGUACUUUUGGAUGUUGCACUGGCAUUGGCUCUGAAGACCUGGCUGUUCUGGAACUCACAGAUUUUGCCCGGUUCUUGCCCCUCCUCUUCCCAUUGCUGGGAUUGAAGUUAUACAACAGCUUUUUGUUUUUUUUGUUUUUGAGACAUGGUUUCUCCAUUUAGAUUUGAAACCUGUUCUGGCACUUGUUCUGCAGACCAGGCUGACCUCAAAUUCACAGAGAUCCUCCUACCCCUGCCUCCCAAGUGCUGGCAUUAAACUUGUUGGAAGGUUUUUUGUUUUUUGUUUUGUUUUGUUUUUUGUUUAUUUGUUUUUUAGAGAUGGUUUCCCUGUAUCACUUUGGACCCUGUCGUGGCACUCACUCUGAAAACCUGACUUUGCUCGAACUUACAGAAAUCGCCCUGAUCCUGAUUUCACCCCCACCCCAGUUCUGGGAAUAAAGACAUGUGCCACCUUUUUUUGGAAUUUAGAGACAGGGUUUCUCCAUUUAGGUUUAGAGCCUGUACUGGCACUUCCUCUGUAGAUCAGGAUGGUCUCAACUCACAGAGCUCCUCCUGCCUCUGCCUCCAGAAUGCUGGGAUUAAUGAUGUGUGCCACUUUAUGAUUUGGGUUUUUUUGUGGUUUAUUUAUUUAUUUUUUUUUUUUUUUUGGUUUUAUGAGACAGGUUUUUCUGUAUUGCUUUGGAAUCUGUCCUGGCACUAGCUCUGAAACCCUUGCUGGCCUAAAACUCACAAAGAUCCUCCUGCCUCUGCCUCCCAAGUGCUGCAAUUAAACUGUACCAACUUUUGUUUUCCUAUGGUUUUUUGAGCCAGGGGUUUUUCCGUAUUUCUUUAGAGCCUGUCUUGGCAUUGGUUCUGAAAACUAGAAUGUCCUCAAACUCACAGAAAUCUUACUGCUCCUGCCCUCAAAGUCCCCGCCCCCUUAAUUGCUGGGAUUAACGACAUGCACCAAGUAGAAACACUGUUUCUCCUUUUAGGUUUGGAGCCUGUCCUGGCUCUGUAGACCAGGCAGGCCUAAAACUCACAGAAAUCCACUUGCUUGUCCAGACCCCCCACUCCAAAUUGCUGGAAUUAAAGGCAUGUGCACCUUUUCUUUUUUUCUUUAUUUUAUUUUAUUGUUGGGAAAGGGUUUUUCUGUAUUGCUUUGGAGCCUGUUUUGGCACUAGCUCUGAAACCCAGGCUGGCCUCAAAACUCACAGAAAUACACGUGCUUGUCCCCCCACCCCCAUGUUGGAAUUAAAGACAGGCUCUACCUUUCUUUCUUUUGCAUUUUGAGACAGAGUUUCUCUAAUUAGGGUUUUUUUUUUUUUUGGUUUUUCAAGACAGGGUUUCUCUGUGUACCUUUGGAGCCUAUCCUGAAACUCGCUUUGGAGACCAGGCUGGCCUCGAACUCACAGAGAUCUGCCUGCCUCUGCCGCCCAAGUGUUGGGAUUAAAGGUGUGCACCACCAACGCCCUGCUCCAUUUAGUUUUGGAGCCUGUCUUGCACUUGCUGUGUAGACCAGGCUGGCCUCAAACUCACAGAGUUCCUCCUGCCCCUGCCUCCCAAGUGCUGGGAUUAAAGACUUGUGCCACCUUUGGUUUUGUUUUGUUUUGUUUUUUAGGUUUUUUGAGACAGAGUGCCUCUGUAUUUCUUUGGAGCCUGUCCUGUCACUAGCUCUGAAACCCAGCCUGGCCUCAAACUCACAGAUGUCCACCUGCUUCUUGCCCUUCAUCCAGUGCUGGGAUUAAAGCCAUGUGCCACCUUAUUUCUUUGGCAUUUUGAGACAGUGUUUCUCCGCCUGUCCUCCCACAUGCUCUGUAGACCAGGCUAGCCUCAAACUGACAGAGAUUCUCCUUACCCUGCCUCAUGUGUGCUGGGAUUAAAGACAUGUGCCUCCUUUUGUUUUUUCUUUUUUUAAUUUUUUUUUGAGGCAGGGUUUUUCUGUAUUGCUUUGGAGCCUGUCCUGGAUCUAGCUCUGAAACACAGGCUGGCCUAAAACUCAACAGAGAUCCUCCUGCCUCUGUAUCCCAAGUGCUGGGUUUAAAGACCUGUGCCACCUUUUAUUGUUUUUUGUUUUGUUUUGUUUUGGUUUGGUUUGGUUUUUGAGACAGGGUUCCUCUGAAGUGCUUUGGAGCAUGUCCUGGAACUAUUUCUAAUACCAAGGCUGGCCUGACACUCACAGAAAUGAGUCUGCUUCUUCCCUCCCAGACCCUCAGUGCACGGAUUAAUGGAAUGCACCACAUUUUUUUUUUUUUUUGGUUUUUUGAGACAGGUUUUCUCUGUGUAGUUUUGGAUGCUGUGCUGGCACUGGCUCUGAAGACCUGGCUGGCUUCGAACUCACAGAUUUUGCCUGCUUCUUGCUGCCUGCCCCAAGUGCUGGGAUUAAAGACAUGCAAUUUGGGAGGGGGGCCUUGGCUAUUUGAGACAGGUUUUCUCUGUGUAGUUUUGAAUGCUGUCCUGGCAUUGGCUCUGAAGACGAGGCUGUCCUCCAACUCACAGAAUUCCUCCUGCCUCUGCCUCAAGAAUGCUGGAAUUAAUGAUGUGUGCCACUUUUUUUUGGCUUUUUGAGACAGAGUUUCUCCAUUUAGUAUUGGAACCUGUCCUGCCACUUGCUCUGUAGUGGAGGCUGGCCUCAAACUCACAGAGAACCUCCUGCUUUUGCCCUCCCCCUCCCAACCCUUUGCUGGGAUUAAAGACAUUUGCCACAUUCUGUCUUUUAUUGCUUUUUAUUUUUGUUGUUGUUUUUUGUUUUGAUUUGGCUUUUGGUUUUUAGAGACAGGGUUCCUCUGUAUUGUUUUGGAGCCUGUCCUGGCACUAGCUCUGAAACCAAGACUGGCUAGAAACUCACAGAAAUCUGCCUGCUCCUUGCCUUCCGGGGCCCCUCAGUGCUGGGAUUAAAGACAUGCACCACAUUUGGGUUUCUCUCUCUCUCUCUCUCUCUUUUUUUCUCUUUGAGACAGCAUUUCUUUGUGUAGUUUUGGAUGCUGUCCUGACACUGGCUAUGAAGACUAGGCUGGCCUCAAACACAGAGAGAUUCUCCUGCAUCUGCCUCCCAUGGGAUGGCAUGAGACGUGUGCCCCAUUUUUGUUGUUUUGUUUUGUUUUUUGAUUUUUUGAGAAAGG